GGGAAGUGAUGAUAAAAGGAGACAGUUUCA
rnacentral:sRNA from 1 species